UACGGAGGGGGCAAGCGUUGUUCGGAGUCACUGGGCGUAAAGGGUGCGUAGGCGGGUCUUUAAGUCAGGGGUGAAAUCCUGGAGCUCAACUCCAGAACUGCCUUUGAUACUGAAGAUCUUGAGUUCGGGAGAGGUGAGUGGAACUGCGAGUGUAGAGGUGAAAUUCGUAGAUAUUCGCAAGAACACCAGUGGCGAAGGCGGCUCACUGGCCCGAUACUGACGCUGAGGCACGAAAGCGUGGGGAGCAAACAGG
rnacentral:rRNA from 1 species